UACGGAGGGGACUAGCGUUGUUCGGAAUUACUGGGCGUAAAGCGUACGUAGGCGGCGGAUUAAGUCGAAUGUUAAAGCCUGGGGCUCAACCCCAGAGAUGCAUUCGAUACUGGUCUGCUAGAGGGUGAUAGAGGAAAGCGGAAUUCCCAGUGUAGCGGUGAAAUGCGUAGAUAUUGGGAGGAACAUCAGUAGCGAAGGCGGCUUUCUGGGUCACACCUGACGCUGAGGUACGAAAGCGUGGGGAGCAAACGGG
rnacentral:rRNA from 1 species